rnacentral:rRNA from 1 species
GACGAACGCUGGCGGCGUGCUUAACACAUGCAAGUCGAACGGAAAGGCCCUGCUUUUGUGGGGUGCUCGAGUGGCGAACGGGUGAGUAACACGUGAGUAACCUGCCCUUGACUUUGGGAUAACUUCAGGAAACUGGGGCUAAUACCGGAUAGGAGCUCCUGCUGCAUGGUGGGGGUUGGAAAGUUUCGGCGGUUGGGGAUGGACUCGCGGCUUAUCAGCUUGUUGGUGGGGUAGUGGCUUACCAAGGCUUUGACGGGUAGCCGGCCUGAGAGGGUGACCGGCCACAUUGGGACUGAGAUACGGCCCAGACUCCUACGGGAGGCAGCAGUGGGGAAUAUUGCACAAUGGGCGGAAGCCUGAUGCAGCAACGCCGCGUGCGGGAUGACGGCCUUCGGGUUGUAAACCGCUUUCGCCUGUGACGAAGCGUGAGUGACGGUAAUGGGUAAAGAAGCACCGGCUAACUACGUGCCAGCAGCCGCGGUGAUACGUAGGGUGCGAGCGUUGUCCGGAUUUAUUGGGCGUAAAGGGCUCGUAGGUGGUUGAUCGCGUCGGAAGUGUAAUCUUGGGGCUUAACCCUGAGCGUGCUUUCGAUACGGGUUGACUUGAGGAAGGUAGGGGAGAAUGGAAUUUCCUGGUGGAGCGGUGGAAUGCGCAAAUAUCAGGAGGAACACCAGUGGCGAAGGCGGUUCUCUGGGCCUUUCCUGACGCUGAGGAGCGAAAGCGUGGGGAGCGAACAGGCUUAGAUACCCUGGUAGUCCACGCUGUAAACGGUGGGUACUAGGUGUGGGGUCCAUUCCACGGGUUCCGUGCCGUAGCUAACGCUUUAAGUACCCCGCCUGGGGAGUACGGCCGCAAGGCUAAAACUCAAAGGAAUUGACGGGGCCCCGCACAAGCGGCGGAGCAUGCGGAUUAAUUCGAUGCAACGCGUAGAACCUUACCUGGGUUUGACAUGGAUCGGGAGCGCUCAGAGAUGGGUGUGCCUCUUUUGGGGUCGGUUCACAGGUGGUGCAUGGCUGUCGUCAGCUCGUGUCGUGAGAUGUUGGGUUAAGUCCCGCAACGAGCGCAACCCUUGUUCACUGUUGCCAGCACGUUAUGGUGGGGACUCAGUGGAGACCGCCGGGGUCAACUCGGAGGAAGGUGGGGAUGACGUCAAGUCAUCAUGCCCCUUAUGUCCAGGGCUUCACGCAUGCUACAAUGGCUGGUACAGAGAGUGGCGAGCCUGUGAGGGUGAGCGAAUCUCGGAAAGCCGGUCUCAGUUCGGAUUGGGGUCUGCAACUCGACCUCAUGAAGUCGGAGUCGCUAGUAAUCGCAGAUCAGCAACGCUGCGGUGAAUACGUUCCCGGGGCU